rnacentral:SRP_RNA from 1 species
CAGUGGGAUAGGUCGGGAGGUUAGGGGUCUCCUGUAAUCACAAACCCCCUUCACGGUGAGACCGAAAAGCUGGAAGAGGUUCGAGCCAUCUCACUUUGGCUCAGGCGCAAGCGUUGAAGCUUUGCCUUGCUGGAUGGAAGGUCGUGCGAACCGGGCCAGGCCGGAAGGAGCAACCCUGAACACAAAUCACGAGAGCACCUGCUCUCUGAGUGGAUUCGUCCAUGCUAGCAAGUCACAAAGUCUAGCCCAUGUCUGAACAACCGGGUGAGGGGGCCCCCAUCGAUUCCAGUGAAGCCCGCUG